AUUCCAGCUCCAAUAGCGUAUAUUAAAGUUGUUGCAGUUAAAAAGCUCGUGGUUGGAUUUCUGGUUCAGAGGGCUUGGCCCAUGGCCAACUCUAGGUUCAUGAGUGCCGAUGCUUUCGUACCAUCCUUCCGGGGAUGAUUCAGGUCCCCUUCAUUGGGUCAGCCUGGUUGUUCCGGAUCUUUUACUUUGAAAAAAUUAGAGUGUUUAAAGCAAGCUGUGUGUUGAAUACAUUAGCAUGGAAUAAUAAUCUAGGACUUUGGUUCUAUUUUGUUGGUUUCUAGCGCCAAAGUAAUGAUUGAUAGGGAUAGUUGGGGGUGCUAGUAUUUACCGGCCAGAGGUGAAAUUCUUGGAUUCGGUAAAGACUAACUUAUGCGUAAGCAUUCACCAAGGAUGUCUUCAUCA
rnacentral:rRNA from 1 species